UAUGUACAGGUACCACCUCGAGUGACGUCCACUAUCAGGUGUACCUGCUGGAGGGCCUGGCUCGGUGGAACGAGGACCGCGGCAGGGCGGCAGUCGAGGGAGGACCGCGAGAGGCGCUGCGGUGCUACAGCGCCCGGCUGCAGCACAGCUUCAACGAGCUGGCCUCUGAGGUCAACGGGGUCCAGCCGGUCGACGACUUCACCCAGCCCAGAGAGUACACAGGUACAUGGAGAUUAGCGACAGAGAGUGUUUGCUGCGGCUGUUCUUGUGGCAUCUGCUAAUGUGUGUGUGUGUGUGUGUGUGUGUGUGUGUGUGUGUCUCUCUCUCUCUGCAGGGGAACUCUUAGGGGUGGAGUACUUGUACUCCCAGUCGGGCGCUGUGCUGCAGCCGGAUCCCGAACCUCUGGAUGGGGCAGAGGAGGAGGAAGAGGCCGCCGCCGAUGACGGCUUCGAGGAGGAGGAGGAGCACCCGGAGGAGGAGCCAGAGGAGAUCCGUCUCCUGGCACACCACAGCGCCCUGCUCCAGGAGCCCUGCGGUGUGCUCCAGGUCGAUGCCACCUUGGGAUCGCCCCAUUCCGAGGUGGAGGAGGAGAUGGAGGAGGAGGAGGAGGAGGAGGAAGUGAGUGGCAGUCGCCUGUCCACAUUUCAUAUCGGCCGCGGUGUUUGCGUGCGGCGUCUCAUCGUGUGCCGUGUGUGCGUUUUCUUUCAGGACGUCGUCGGGCCGGACGGUCAGCCCGGGUACCACCACGCGGUGGCCCUGGCCCACGGCCUCGUGGAGCUGCGUCACCACGCCUUCGUCACCGCCCGUCAGACCAGAGGCAUCAUCGCUCUCUGGGAGAGGCUGACGGAGCGGGACAAGGCGCCGGUGACCUUCACCCCCCGCCACCAGGACCGGCUGGCUAAAGGGCGGUUCAAGACCAGCAACCGCCACGCCCACAUCCCGGGAGUGGACAGUGUGAAGCGUGUCGUCGUGGGUAAGGGUGCGGGAGCGGCACAGUACCCAAGCCUCAGCAGGGUCGUCAAGGCCAUCAUGUUGGAGCUGUGCCGCGUCCACAGCGGCGACGCCAAGACCAUCGCCGGGGCACGCCUCAACCGCUGGGGUGCCGUCAUGAGGGAUUACAAAUUGAUCCAGGACAACGUGGUCAACUGUCCUGCCCUCAUGGCGAGCACCCGCAUCAUGCUGUUUGACGUGAACCAGCGGACCCUGUCCAUGUGGUAAGUCCAUAUACUUUGGCUCGCAGAACUGAGUGUGUGUGUGUGUGUGUGUGUGUGUGUGUGUGUUUGUCGUCGUGAUUGAUAUCUUUGUCGUCAUAAUUAACACAUUGUUUCUAUUUCUUGAAAGGCAAAACACCAGGGAAAAAAAUAAGAUGAGGGACACCCUCUCCCUCGCAGUCCCGGGGCCCAGCGCUCCCCAGACUGCAGCGGAGCCCCUGUCGGCCCCACGGACUCUGCUGCAGCAGCCCCAGCAGCCAGACCAGCCCCUCCAGCACCACCUGCCCGCGGAUGCC
rnacentral:lncRNA from 1 species